rnacentral:lncRNA from 1 species
AGUCUCACCGUCCGCCCGGCUCCGGGCGCAGCCGGUGCGCUGUUCCCAGGCCCCGCGGCGCGCGGGAGCUGCGCGUCCAGGAGGGGCCCGGACGCCCUUCUUGGGGAGGGGGCUGCGGGGCGCAUCAUGAGCGGCGCUGGGCGAGCUCGAGGGCCGGGCAGCCUACCUGGACCCCGGCUUCUAGAGAGCCGUCGCCGUCCUUGUCGAGACUCGCUUUCGCCCCUCUGAGGAAUAAGUUAAAAACCGCGAGUCUGGUUCUGAGCCGCCCCCUGGCGCAGGCGCGACCCCACCCGGCCCUCCCGUCUCCCAACUUGGGACAGACGCGGCGGCCGGGCGGUCGGAUCCGUGAGCCUCGGCCGCUGGGGCUACAUACACAGCCCAGGACGCCACAGAAUCGCCGAGGCCCCGCGAACGCCCAAACGGCCGCAAGUCGAAGUGAUCCCAUCUGAAGAAGACAGCGCGAGGAAGCGAGACCCUGCUGUGUGCCGGCCCCCGGAGGGCGCCCCGGGCCCUGUGGGUCGGAGGGUGGGGAAGCACAGAGAAACACGCAGGCAGUAAAACGUUAGGAGGACAGGGGGUGCCAGCGUGCAGGAAAUGCUGCUAAGAGACCUUUAGGAGCCAAGGGGAAAACGGAGAGAUUGGCAGUUCCAGGCACCCACAUCCCAGCGCGGUCCGCUCACCCCUUCCUCCCUGCCCUCCAGGCAGCGCUCAGCCCACGGUAGAAAUGUCUUGCAUCUUUUUUCCGACGAGGAAGAAUUGAACUUUUUAUACCCAACUUUUCUGCUUUCUUAGAAAUGUUGACUCACCUGUGAGGAAGCAUUAUUUGAAACUAUUAUUGUAAAUUGCUUGACAUUUGAAUUAGAUGCUGAAAGAUUAAAGGGUCUCAGAAGAAUCUUUUAAGCUAGACUGGAAUUGACUCUGCCUAAAUGGACAGCAACAGUCAUCUAUACGCAGGAAUAAUAAAGCAGGUGGAGGCAGCCUCUAACUUACCUUCCAGCCACACCGUAGAAUUUCCUGAGCAGGCUUUUUUGUCAGAGUUUUGAGCUGGGUUCCCUGAGACUGGAUUGGGGCUUUCAGUUUCUCCCCUUCUAGAGUCAGACUUCUUCCUGAAGAAAAAGUGUUAUCUCUACUUCCCUAUCACAAACACUUCCUAGAACACAGCCCUGUUAAAAGGGCCUUGAGGAGAAGAACCACAUCUCCUCCAGCAUUUUGAUCCCUAAGGCACAAAUCCACUACAAUCCGGAGCAGAUCCUUGGUCAGUGGGUUGUCAUUGAGGUGGGUCUUAACUGCUGCAGCUACAAAUGUACACUGUCUAAUAGAUGAAGAGGAACCCAUCCCUUUGAUGUGUUCCUUAAUAUCCAGUACAUAAUGAUCAUAUAUGGAAGGAAGUCUGACCAGACACUCUUCGAUGACGGUGUUAGCCACAAUUCUCACUCUCUCACCUUCCCAUCCCACUUCUUGUGCUUUCCAAACUAAAAUUGAAAUAUCCUAAGCCCCACUACCAAGGUUGGCAGUAUUUUUUUUAAUGCCUGUAAUUGAUUGUGCAGAGUAAAUAUUUGUGUACGUUUAUGAAGGUCCGUGGGAGUUUCUUACUUUCCCAGAACUCCACGUCACAUGAGGCUGGCCUUCAUCGGAAUGUUCCUGCUUUCAACAAACAGGUCCUGAGUGAGCCCCUUUGCUGUGCAGAACAAUGGUGAUACAUACAGGCGAGAGCAAAACCCACGAGGUGUCCACCUCACGGCCGACCACAAGAGAUCCUCAAGAGACACAUCUCAGGAAUGAUUCUGAACCUUCUUCACCAAAUAAAAUAUUCCAGAAAUAGUAUUAGAUUUAAUGUGUGUGUCCCUCCUUGCUGGUCUUCCUAGCAGCAGCCUUCUUGUUUCUUGCCUUUUUAGGCAAACAGCCUGAAACUUAGCACAGACGGUGGAAUUGCAGCACCUAUGAAGAUAUCACUGCAUCCUUUUUGCCUCAGGACAUCUUACUGAAAAUCAUUCUAUGUUAAAGCUAUACAUUUUGCUGAAAUUUUGAAGACAAACAUCAAUGGUGAAUUAUAAACUUGUAUUUGCCUAAAGGCUAGUGUGAACUUAUCACUUUCGCCUUCCCCCAGGCCAAGAUUUUCCCUCCCCUUGUUGCCCAAGCCUCACUUUCUAU